rnacentral:lncRNA from 1 species
CAGGAAGUUGAGCAGACUACACAUGUGCCAGCUCCUGAAGAAGCCUGACUACAAACUGACUCGUGUCGCUUAUGAAAGCAUCAGCUGUGAGUUUUAUUAUGUGUGAUAGCAAAAUGGCUGGUUCUUGGUUGUUAAGCAGAAUAUGGUGUUAAAGCAUUUUUUUUUUUUUACUUGCUAGUUUAAGUAUUUAGCUUAUCUACGGUGACCAUACUUCCUCUUUUACCCGGACAUGUCCUCUUUUUGGGGGGCAGUUUUAGGUUUGGGUUGCAUGGACUUACUGAGUUAGAAGCACGUAAAAAACACUCGAUCUGACCCGAAAAACUCUCAAAAUUAGCUAUGCUCCGUGACUCCGCCCCCGUGUACUCGUAUCCUCUUUUUUGGGGAUUCAGAAUAUGGUUACCCUAGUUUAUCCUGGUGCUUAGCCUAGCAUGUAGCCCACAUCUUAGCUGAUUUGCUUACUGCAGUAUGAAGUUUGGUUUGCCAGUACCUUACUUUAGCUUAGCUUUUAGCAUUAGCACUUGAUGUAGCAGAAGGCUCACACCUAGCUCAAUUCAGCAUGUAGCUUAGCGCUUAGCAAUUAGCUUAGCUGCAAUGUUCCAUUUGUAUUACAAGUAAAUUUAGUGUUUUAUAUUAAAAGUUAAAAGUCUUAUAUGGUCUUUUUUUAAUCACUUUUACUUCUUUUAUGCUUUUGUGUUUUUAUUUCAUUUAUUUUAUUUCAUUUUAAAUGUUUUUGCCUGUUUUUAUUUCCUCUUGAUGUUUUGUGUUUGUUCUUUUAAUCUUACUGUGCAGCACUUUGGUAAACUUGAAUGUUUAUUUUUUUUAUGUGCUAUAUAAAUGAAGCGGAUUGGAUAGAAGUUGUUCACAGCACCUUGUUGAUCUGUGCUUUAUUAUUUCUCUUUGUUAUAGUUUUCACUCUGAAUUCAACCAGUGAUGAAUGAACAAGAUUAACUGAGACCUGACUGGAUCAUCAUUUGAAGUGGAGUUUGGCCGACUGUCAAACUGCGUAAUCACACACGCAGAGAGGACACAAAUAUCACAAGUGUAGAUAAAAGAGGAUCACAAUCCAGCUGCCCCUCAGGGAGCUGUGUUACACUUUAACUUCUUCUCAAUGUUGAGUAAUCGUUCACGAAUACAGCCAUAAUUUUAAAUCAGCUUCUCUCUGCAUUCUCAGAACAUCUAAUUCUAAUUAUUAUCACCUCAAAAAUGACUUUUAUUCAAAUGAAACACACUUACUCACUUUGGGGGAUAAGCCAAUUCCACCUGAUACGAGUGAGGGGAAAGACUGCUUCUCUUCUUUGACAGGAGAGAGGAAGAGAGAAAGAGAAAGGGCAUAUUAGGUGAGGAGGAAUUGGCAGCAGAGUACAGUACUUCUUCAACCUCUUUUUUAUUUUUUCAGAGGACGGGGGUGAGGAUGCUGCUGACCAGUGGAGUUCACUAAAUCGUUCCACAGCCGAGGGAGCACACACAGGAGAGGAGCGAGGGUUUAAACUCACUCACAGAGCUAUCAAUUUCUGUAAGAUCACAGCGAAGCAGAAGUUUCAUUACACUGGUGAUUAAUCCUAUUAACAGGAGACAUGUCUCUUUAAAAACUCCAUAUGUAGGAAUGAAAGCACCAUUAAAAACAAAUGGGAAAAGCAAAAGCAAAUAUUCUACAUAAUCCAGAGCAGCUGUUAUCAAUACCACCUCAGACAUCCUUUAGUCCCUCCAUCCCCCUGAUGUCUUAUAUCUACCAAAAUGGUAAUAAAUAAGUUGGCUCUGAUCUCGGGGUGUCUGAAGAAGAAGAACGCGUCUCAAAUUGAAACUAAAAGACUCCGUGCAGCUCCACAGUCAGCCUGGUCGUGUACAGCUGUUACAGGUCAACUCGCCCUCGCUCCGUAAUUCUCCCACGGGUCUUUAAGAGAGAGAAGCGAGCCGACCUGCAUCAUAUUGUACAUUUGCUUUCGAUGGCCUUGUGAGCACAAUGAGACACUUUUUUUCCUCUUAAACAGGUCGGUGAAAAUGAGAAAUGGAAAAGGAGAAGAAUGAGAAAAGAUGACGGACUGAAGUCGAAAUACUUCAGUCAGAAACGACUUUGGGGAGUGGUCAUGGUAAGAGUAGAACAACUGUUAUAUUUUAUUUUUAAUCUUAUUUAAUUAAAAUGUGUUUGCACAAAAUAUUAUGUAUUAACACUUUUUUUUUCAUGGUAAAUGUUUGACUACUGGAAGUUACACGCAUAAUGCAUCAUGAGAGGUUUUUGUCCUCAAAGGCCACCGUAUGCCACUCCAACCUAGAAUCUGACCACUAGAUAUUGCAGAAUAUUUAUGCUGCUUUCAGUUCCCUCGGAAGUUGUAUAUCGUAGCUGGAAAUGAUGUUACACCCGAGUUGAUGGCGUUCCAGUAAACAGUUGGAAAACCAAGAUGGACGCCUACUGUAAGCUGUUUACAACUAUCAGUUGUUAGCAGUUGCCAGUUGUUGUCAGCUGUCAUUAGCGGUUGUCAUCUUUGAUUAUGCUGUUAUCGUUAAGUUGGGAUUGGUGAGAAUUGUCCGACUUUCCGAGUUGGAAAUCUGACUUCAGGGGGGUAUUCCAGAUGAAUUUCUAACUUGGGGUUAUUGAGCUUUUUAUUGUCACCUGAUGCAAAAUUAAACACAAGGUUGUGCAAAAUAUGAUCUGCAAACACAAGGGUUAACAUUUUUGUCCUUUUUUUUUCAAUCACAUAAUCCAAAAUUUGCACACAAGCUUAUAGCUGCAUGCAAAAACAUCAAAAUGCAUCUCAUUUCUCAUUAGUCUUGUUUCAUGCUGCAUGCUUUGUUUGAGAUGCUAAUCCCCGUAAACUCCGACACUUUUAUAAAAAAAAAAAAAACAGAUUAAGAAGAUUUCAGAGAGGUGUACACUCUGUGCCAUCUUCUCUCCACUGUUAAUCAGUAAUUUGUCCAAUUUCACAGAUCUGUGGUCAGAUCUUCUCCAGGAAUCAGGCUCUUCCGCUCUGAAUCAUUUACUGUAGCGCUGGUGCAUGGAAGGGAGAGAGCUGCAGGCGGGGACGCUCGGAGAAAUCCAAUACUCCUGAAGCUCUUACUCUCUGCAGAGCCCGAUCCAAAUUGGGUGCCACGGUAACAAGGUGAGCCCAGACACAGAUAAUAAAACAAACUGGUUUUCACAGCGGUUAAAGCGGUUUGCCCUUGGUUCAUUUUGCAAGCAUGAGUAAGUGCUGCCUACUGGACACCAACAUCAAACCUCUCUCUUUAUAAACACUGAAUUUUAAGCUUUAUUUGCUGCAUUUCUCAUCAAAAUAAGAAGAAAUUCACGGCUGUAACAAGCUCGUUCACAGGUAGAAACCUCCUCCUCCUCCUCCUCCUCCUCUUCCUCAUUGUGCUCUGGUAAUAGUUGUCAGCUUUGUAAUCACACCGGCGUUUAAAUCUCACCAGGCAGCUCCACCUGCCGAGUAUUGACUUUAAAAAUAGCACACACACACACACACACUCUUGCUCUCCUGGGACCGUUACCGCUCAGGAAAUGGACUGUGUCUGUGGCUGUUAGUAAAGCACACAAGCAGCCGAUAGGAUGAGUAAGAGGAGCGAGUUCAAGCCGUGUGCACUUCACAUGUUAAGCCGAAAAAGAACAUAGAGCAUAUGGCCCUUGACUGUUUAAGCGGUGAACGGACAACUAAUGAACUGGCGCCGCCUGAAAGACUAUUCGGGGAUUUCUGGUGUUAAAAUUACGUUUCCUGCUUUGAAAAGGGAGAGAAGGCGAAUUAGAAAGCUGCAAAGUAUCUGUUUCAUAUUAUUUUUAACAUUAAAACGCCUGUUUUUCCUGCGCUGAAGGGAUUCAAGAACAAGUGCAAGAACAGAGUGUUUUACCUUUUAAGCAACACCACAGAAACCUCUUUAUUCCGACCCAAGCAGAGAGAACAACUCUGCAAUUAGCCACGGGUAAGGAGAAAUGGAUCUGCAAUCAGGUUAAGUGGCACCCUGUCAGACUCCCAACCAUUACUGGUCAUGAUAUUAUUACUUUAGAUUUUCCAGAGUGCUUAAGAAAAGCUGGCUGCAGAGUUAAAAGCUGCUUGGCCAGGUCUGUAUGAAAAGGUGAGAGUUGUUUUGCACAGGCUGUAAUCAGGCUCAUGUAAAAAAACAGCAACCUGAUCGGUGGCCCAGGUCUCCUGUGAGGAGUUGUUGACGUGGAUGAAAUAGACUGUGUGUUUUUUUUAAAGGAAAUCCAGAAGCAAAUGAAACCAUCAACCACAAGAUUGAAGAUUUUUAGGUUGGUGCCACGUCGGUGUCAGCUGAGCAGCUAAAGAAAGUAUGAUAGAGGGAACCGGUCUUAUUUUAGAGGCAAUCCAAAGCAAAGAUUCCUGUGUAUGGGAUCCAGAUGGGCCCCCAUUCAGACUGGAUCUCGUUAGAUAUGUUUACAUUGGCACAGAUAAUCGGAACAAAAGCGUCAUGUAAACAUGUCGAUUGGAAAGAAAUCAUGUUCUGUUCUGGAGGGGUGAUUUAUGCCGAUCUUUAUUCUGAAACACUUAUUCCGAUCAUGACCAUGAAAAUCUGAAUCUUCUGUUUACAUAAUCAAAUAAUCCGAUCACGACAUGCGAAUACAAUACACCAAGUUUUAUUCAAACACUACUGCGUUUGUUGGUUUGUUGACCGCACAGACUUUAACACAACUCUUCUUCUUCGAAAACCUUUAAAUUAGACAACUCUGCUCAUGUCCAAAUGUUUCUAAUCUGAAUAAAACUUGGUGUAUUGAAUACGCACGUCGUGAUCGGAUUAUUUGAUUAUAUAAACACAUGGAAACAUGGCAAGUGUGCCAGUUUAAGCGUAGAGUAGUAAAACUAGGACCUGAUCCAGGUCUAAGUCAGCUAUAACUGUAAGUUUAAGGAGCAGGUUUGGAAACAUCCUUUUUAAAAAGCUGUAAAGUUUAUUGGACUUGGUUCCUCCCUCCUCAGGAAAGGGGAGGCUUGACCUCUUAUACUUCUCUUGGGGACUUUAGGUACCGUAAGGCUGGCCUACAAAUUUGGAGUGUUUUGUUUGAGAAGUACUUAAGGAUUUUUUCCCCCUGGAUUUUACAUGACGCCAGUUUUGGGAUUACAUGGAUUACAUAUGCACUACACGCUGUAACCUUUGCUUAUCGAUGCUAACCACAGUGAGUUACUCUAGGAGACUAACCAGACAUUACAUUUGUAUUCUCAGAAAACAUGAUGUAAAGUUGUUGUCAUAUUUUGAAGUGCCACAGAGCAGACUUAAGUUAAGAGUGUCCGAGUGUUUGUUGGCAUUAAAAAAGGCACACCCAGCUCUAAAAAAUCAAUAAUUUCAGCAGGUGUUAUCACAUUCACCUGCUGUAAAAAAAAGUCUGCAAUCAUUCCAGUUUAUGUUGUGUGUCACUGCCGUAUUAAAGCUUGAAGGGAUGAGUGAGGGCUGCAGCGAGGUUCAGGCUGCAUGCUGAGUUACUCGGGCGUUUAAUGUUUAAUGCAUCUGUUUCCACUCCUGCAGUUUAUCGCCUGGAGCUGUAACAUCCAGGACCUUCUAAACUGCGGCGAGCCAUCGAGGAUUUAUGUGAAGAUCAAAAUUUGGCUUAUGGGACACGCUGUACUUCGACGUAUUCCUUUUUCCAAUCCUAAAAUAUCAUAAAAGCAGCGAUUGUGUGUACAGCAUUUCUUUAAAGACGGGUUUCUUUUAAUCUGUCUGUCCUUGUAUUUUCCUCUUUUAUGUUUUAAUCUCUUUUCUUUCUCUCCCGAUGUAAAUCAAUUUGUCUUGCCUGUGGUUUUAAAAGGCUUAGUCCUGAAAUACCCAUAUCUAUAUCCUCCAAAGACAAGAUCUGAGAGAUAAGGGUUUAGGUGCUCGGUUUUGGUCGGAGGUUUCAUGUCUGUGUUGAUUUCCUGCCAUUCCUAAAUAAAAGACAAAAAAAA